CACGCAGAGUGUUACAUCAGAGAUCAUUUCAAGUAUGAGACUUGUGAUGGCCGAGGGCUCAAAUAAUUCUUCCAAUAAUUCUUUCUUGUUAGAUGAUGAUUCCAGCAUUCCAUUUUUGGUCGAUGAUAUCUCAAAGUCAAUGACAGAAAUAGAUAUAGCAGAUAUCGAUCCACCGCCUUUCCUUUGUCAGAGUUCGAG